GACGAACGCUGGCGGCGUGCUUAACACAUGCAAGUCGAACGGAAAGGCCCUGCUUUUGUGAGGUGCUCGAGUGGCGAACGGGUGAGUAACACGUGAGUAACCUGCCCUUGACUUUGGGAUAACUUCAGGAAACUGGGGCUAAUACCGGAUAGGAGCUCCUGCUGCAUGGUGGGGGUUGGAAAGUUUCGGCGGUUGGGGAUGGACUCGCGGCUUAUCAGCUUGUUGGUGGGGUAGUGGCUUACCAAGGCUUUGACGGGUAGCCGGCCUGAGAGGGUGACCGGCCACAUUGGGACUGAGAUACGGCCCAGACUCCUACGGGAGGCAGCAGUGGGGAAUAUUGCACAAUGGGCGGAAGCCUGAGGCAGCAACGCCGCGUGCGGGAUGACGGCCUUCGGGUUGUAAACCGCUUUCGCCUGUGACGAAGCGUGAGUGACGGUAAUGGGUAAAGAAGCACCGGCUAACUACGUG
rnacentral:rRNA from 1 species